rnacentral:rRNA from 1 species
UGUUUCGGCUAGGGGGCCAUCCCGGCUUACCAACCCGAUGCAAACUGCGAAUACCGGAGAAUGUUAUCACGGGAGACACACGGCGGGUGCUAACGUCCGUCGUGAAGAGGGAAACAACCCAGACCGCCAGCUAAGGUCCCAAAGUCAUGGUUAAGUGGGAAACGAUGUGGGAAGGCCCAGACAGCCAGGAUGUUGGCUUAGAAGCAGCCAUCAUUUAAAGAAAGCGUAAUAGCUCACUGGUCGAGUCGGCCUGCGCGGAAGAUGUAACGGGGCUAAACCAUGCACCGAAGCUGCGGCAGCGACGCUUAUGCGUUGUUGGGUAGGGGAGCGUUCUGUAAGCCUGCGAAGGUGGCCUGUGAGGGUUGCUGGAGGUAUCAGAAGUGCGAAUGCUGACAUAAGUAACGAUAAAGCGGGUGAAAAGCCCGCUCGCCGGAAGACCAAGGGUUCCUGUCCAACGUUAAUCGGGGCAGGGUGAGUCGACCCCUAAGGCGAGGCCGAAAGGCGUAGUCGAUGGGAAACGGGUUAAUAUUCCCGUACUUGGUGUUACUGCGAAGGGGGGACGGAGAAGGCUAUGUUGGCCGGGCGACGGUUGUCCCGGUUUAAGCGUGUAGGUGUGUGUUCCAGGUAAAUCCGGUUCACUUUAACACUGAGGCGUGACGACGAGGCACUACGGUGCUGAAGCAACAAAUGCCCUGCUUCCAGGAAAAGCCUCUAAGCAUCAGGUAACAUCAAAUCGUACCCCAAACCGACACAGGUGGUCAGGUAGAGAAUACCAAGGCGCUUGAGAGAACUCGGGUGAAGGAACUAGGCAAAAUGGUGCCGUAACU